UGGGGAAUAUUGCACAAUGGGCGAAAGCCUGAUGCAGCAACGCCGCGUGAGUGAUGAAGGCCUUCGGGUUGUAAAGCUCUGUCUUCUGGGACGAUAAUGACGGUACCAGAGGAGGAAGCCACGGCUAACUACGUGCCAGCAGCCGCGGUAAUACGUAGGUGGCAAGCGUUGUCCGGAUUUACUGGGCGUAAAGGAUGCGUAGGCGGAUACUUAAGUCAGAUGUGAAAAUCCCGGGCUUAACUUGGGAACUGCAUUUGAAACUGGGUAUCUAGAGUGCGGGAGAGGAAAGUGGAAUUCCUAGUGUAGCGGUGAAAUGCGUAGAGAUUAGGAGAAACACCAGUGGCGAAGGCGACUUUCUGGACCGUAACUGACGCUGAGGCAUGAAAGCGUGGGGAGCAAACA
rnacentral:rRNA from 1 species